GAUGAAGAACGUAGCGAAAUGCGAUAAGUAAUGUGAAUUGCAGAAUUCAGUGAAUCAUCGAAUCUUUGAACGCACCUUGCGCCCUUUGGCCAUUCCGAAGGGCAUGCCUGUUUGAGUAUCAUGAACACCUCAACUCUUUAUGGUUUUCCAUGAUGAGCUUGGACUCUGGGGGUUUUGCUGGCUCACAGUCGGCUCCUCUAAAAUGAAUCAGCUUACCAGUGUUUGGUGGGUAUCAUGGGUGUGAUAACUAUCUACGCUUGUGGUUUUUCCACCAGGUAACCUUCAGCAGUGGAGGUUCGCUGGAGCUCAUAGAUGUCUCUCCUCGGUGAGGACAGCCCUUGAACGUUUGAUCUCAAAUCAGGUAGGACUACCCGCUGAACUUAAGCAUAUCAAUAAGCGGAGGA
rnacentral:misc_RNA from 1 species